ensembl:lncRNA
GUUUAAAGAAGAAAACAAAAAAGCCACGCUGCUGAACUCUAUGUAAUAUAAACUAGGAGGAGAAAGAUUAGAAUUUGGUGAAGGGGUACAGCAGACUUUUCUGGCUAAAAACUGAAAAGAAAUGAGUCUGAAGAGAAGGGGUGAGGACACCUGAGGCAGGGGAGAAGGAGAGGAGGAGGUGAGAGGAAAGAGCACGUGGUGCAGUGAGGAAUGGAAAGCGGCCCAUCUCCUGGAGGAUCACUCGCACUGCUUCAAUCCUCUUCUUUUUGUCUCGGCAACCAAAAAGCAGAAGGCUUAGAGGCGCUCAGCCUCUGGGGUUUUAUGGAUUCAUUCUCAGCUUGGCAGCAAGGGCUGCCCUCGAAUGCAUCUCAGCAGAGACACCAAAUGGCAACAGCUGUCCAUUAACAUCUGUGCGAGAGUUACCUAUUCCUUCCUGUUAGCAGUUCUGUCCCUUAACUAUCAAGCCAGAAAGCAAUCCUACUGUCUUGGAGAGUCCAAGAGGCUGCAGCAGAAGGCCCCUCAUUCGAGAUGCUUACUCAGUGGUGAAAUAAUAAAAUGGUUUGUGCUUGCCGUGGGCCUUUUGCCAAGGGCAGAGUUUCUCUACAGCACUCAAUGACAUAACGCUGCUGCUGUGCUGCCCUUGAAACAAAAACUUCAUGAGAAAAAUCUCUCUGAGCAGAUGAGCCAAGAGAAGUCAAGUUCUGCUUAGCACCGAAGUCUGAUUUAUUUUCUCAGACACUUUCUUAACGCAAUGCAUAUUCUGGGUGUUUUACUGAGAGACUUCACAGUAAAUAAGGCAGAAAUGAAAGCAAAAAUAUAUAUAUAUAUAUUAAACAUGAGAGAGUUGUGAAUGAGCACCAAAUUCCUGUGCGUUCUUGAGGAAAAAGGAGAAAAAUUUUAAGCACAUGUAGCCAGCAAGCCCAGGACAUUGUGUAGAGGCACCGUGCCAAUUUUCCUAUGUUUUAAAUGCUCUCUAUAUUGAAAUACGUAACCUGCAUUCCAGACAUAAAGCUACUAAAUGAUGACAUGGAUGGCUAUAGCCUGUUCCACUGCUUUGUGUGUACUUUCUGAACACUGUCAUUUGGGGCUUGCUGUUUGUAUGGGGAAGGAGCUCUUCCACUCCACAGCGCACUCGGAGUGUGCAGAUACGCACGGGCACGAUGGAAAGCUCUGCUGCAGGAUGUUGGGCCGUCCAGUGAGCCCGUCCCCAAGUGGGCACGAUAUCCACAUUUGCUCCAUGAAACAUCUCUGUUUAAUUUAUUAUGCUAAAGUAGAGAGUGACGUAUUUCAGGGAAACCACUGCUGGCUGUAGAC